CUCAAUUUGAUUAUAAGAGAUUGUACGUGUCAUCAAUUGGUUGGACAAACCGAUUAAUAGAGAUAAAAAGUUUUUUUUUAUUGUCGAUUGAUUUUUUUUUCUUCCUCUUCCUCUCUUUGUCUCUCUCUCGAACUCGCGAAUUAACAAUCGAAGAAGAAGAUGGAAGUAGAGGAGAUUCGUGUCGGAGGAGAUGCGAAUCGGAGGAGGGUAACCGCGCGUUAACAACUUCCAUCGGUUUUGGAUUUGAGGUUCUUUGGAGGAAGAUACAAGUGUGAGAUGUUAAUCCUGGUUGUGUUUUUUGAGAGGACACUGUGUCGCUCCAAGUCUCUUGUCUGAUAUUUAUUGUUUUGUGGUGUAUUGGUGCAUGUGUUCAGAAAAUUCUUAGAAUUCAGGUAUGUUCAUAUAAAGAUGGGAAAGUUAUUAUUGACACUGCUGCUGGAGUGCUUGGAAGAUAUGACCCGAUAGUUUAUUUCCUGUUUUCUCUGUGACAAAGGGUGUCACUGACGGAAUGAUACAUUGGCCUGUUUUUCAUGUAUUCAUUUCACACACCUUGACAUUCUGAAUCGCCUUCAAGUAUUACAUAUUGGUCUCAUUAUUAAUUCCAUGAUCUCAUUUGCAGAACUCAUGCUUAGUCAUACUUUACUUUAACUGGUUGUGGACCUUGUGUUCAUGAUCCUUCACUUGAUUUUGAUCUUCUUCCAGGAAGUUCUAUGGGUCAUAAUAAUCUGCAAUAUCAGACAUGGAUAAGCCUCUUAUGACCGACAUUGCUUUGACUGCAAUGGAAGAGUUGCUUAGGCCUCUUCAUGGAUUGUGUAAAGGCAAAGUGUGAUCGUGGAAUCCAGGCAAUGAAGAGGAG